UCUGCCCCGGGCGCGUCGCAGCCCCGGACCAAGGCGCCCGCCGGAGGAAAAAAAACAACCAAAACUCCUUUGUAUACCCCCUCGCGGGUUUUCUUACUUCUGAGAACUUCUCGGCGCCCCUCAGCGGGCGUUUCGAAAAUGAAUCAAAACUUUCAACAACGGAUCUCUUGGUUCUGGCAUCGAUGAAGAACGCAGCGAAAUGCGAUAAGUAAUGUGAAUUGCAGAAUUCAGUGAAUCAUCGAAUCUUUGAACGCACAUUGCGCCCGCCAGUAUUCUGGCGGGCAUGCCUGUCCGAGCGUCAUUUCAACCCUCGAACCCCUCCGGGGGGUCGGCGUUGGGGAUCGGCCCUCCCUUCGCGGGGGCGGCCGGCCCCGAAAUACAGUGGCGGUCUCGCCGCAGCCUCUCCUGCGCAGUAGUUUGCACACUCGCACCGGGAGCGCGGCGCGUCCAAAGCCGUAAAACACCCAACUUUCUGAAAUGUUGACCUCGGAUCAGGUAGGAAUACCCGCUGAACUUAAGCAUAUCAAUAAGCGGAGGAAAAGAAACCAACAGGGAUUGCCCCAGUAACGGCGAGUGAAGCGGCAACAGCUCAAAUUUGAAAUCUGGCCCCUCGGGGUCCGAGUUGUAAUUUGUAGAGGAUGCUUUUGGUGAGGUGCCGCCCGAGUUCCCUGGAACGGGACGCCACAGAGGGUGAGAGCCCCGUCUGGCUGGCCACCGAGCCUCUGUAAAGCUCCUUCGACGAGUCGAGUAGUUUGGGGAAUGCUGCUCAAAAUGGGAGGUAUAUGUCUUCUAAAGCUAAAUAU
rnacentral:rRNA from 1 species